UAUCAUCAUCAUUCUUCACGACAUUUUUUCCUCCGCAAAACUUCAUCUUCUUAUUUCACAUUCUUUUUCUAUUUUGUUUCUUCCUCCUUUAAUUCUUCCUUCAACCAUUAUCACACAUCCAUUGAUACAUCAUCUCCACCUUCAUCUCUAGUUCGUUAGUUUUAAAAGAUAGGAAAUUUUUGGGUUAUUGGACUUGCGGUUUUCGGAUCAAGAGGUCGAGAUUGUUGGGUCUUUAUAGUGUAAUUUCACUUUUAUUACUUUUCCUAAUCAAAACACGGGUUUGUAGAGGAACCUUUUUGACUUGAGAUUGAGGUACAUUGACUGUGUUUGCUAUUGAGAUGAUGCGUAGACACGCGCGUGCCAGAAACUCAAGCUCGAAUCGUAUGAUGCGUGGGAUAGCUCAAUCCACUCGAGCCUUAACUGAUGCUAUGGAGAAACUUGCUGAGGCUCAAGCUGCUGCUCUUAAUACUCCUGUU